GGAUUGAGAACAACGUACAAACCUUAUCGAUAAACAAUUGGAGGGCAAGUCUGGUGCCAGCAGCCGCGGUAAUUCCAGCUCCAAUAGCGUAUAUUAACGUUGUUGCAGUUAAAAAGCUCGUAGUUGAAAUGAAGGGUAGUUGUGUAAUGAAUACAUUCGUGUAUUUUGUUAUUCUACUACCCUCCUUCUAAAUUCGAUAUAUGAGUAUUAAUUUACUUGUAUAUGGUUUUAGACUUUUACUGUGAGAAAAUUAGAGUGUUCAAAGCAGGCAUUUGCUUGAAUAUAUUAGCAUGGAAUAAUCAUGUAUGAUUUUCAUGAUGUAUUUGAUUGGUUUGGUUCAUGAGAAUAAGAUUAAAAGGGACAGUUGGGGGUAUUCAUAUUCAAUAGUCAGAGGUGAAAUUCUCGGAUUUAUGGAAGAUGAACAAGUGCGAAAGCA
rnacentral:rRNA from 1 species